rfam:Stegodyphus mimosarum contig76148, whole genome shotgun sequence.
GCCUUCGUGGUGUAAUGGUCAGCACACAUAGCCGGUAUUUCAGAGGUCCGUGGUUCGAUUCCCGGCGAAGGAA